rnacentral:lncRNA from 1 species
GGAGGGAAGCAGGCGCAGGCUCCGUGAGGAGGCAAGGGAACUCUGGCGUAAGAGCUUUGUGUGACCAGGGCAGGGCUGGUUAGAAGUGCUCAGGGCCCAGACUCAGCCAGGAAUCAAGGUCAGGACCCCAAGAGGGGACUGAGGGCAACCCACCCCCUACCCUCACUACCAAUCCCAUCCCCCAACACCAACCCCACCCCCAUCCCUCAAACACCAACCCCACCCCCAAACCCCAUUCCCAUCUCCUCCCCCACCACCAUCCUGGCAGAAUCCGGGCUUUGCCCCUGCAAUCAACCCACGGAAGCUCCGGGAAUGGCGGCCAAGCACGCGGAUCCUGACGUUCACAUAUCUCAGGGAGUUGAUGACCUUGUUUUCAGAAGGUGACUCAGGUCAACACAGGGGCCCCCAUCUGGUCGACAGAUGCAGUGGUUCUAGGAUCUGCCAAGCAUCCAGGUGGAGAGCCUGAGGAAUCAGGAGCUCCAGGAACCAGGCAGUGAGGCCUUGGUCUGAGUCAGUGUCCUCAGGU